rnacentral:rRNA from 1 species
UACAGAGGGUGCAAGCGUUGUUCGGAAUUAUUGGGCGUAAAGCGCGUGUAGGCGGCUUUGCAAGUCGGGUGUGAAAGCCCUCAGCUUAACUGAGGAAGUGCGCCCGAAACUGCUUGGCUUGAGUACCGGAGAGGAUGGCGGAAUUCCCCAAGUAGAGGUGAAAUUCGUAGAUAUGGGGAGGAACACCGGUGGCGAAGGCGGCCAUCUGGACGGAUACUGACGCUGAGACGCGACAGCGUGGGGAGCAAACAGG